GACGAACGCUGGCGGCGCGCUUAACACAUGCAAGUCGAACGGGGUCAGGGCUUCGGCUCUGGUCUAGUGGCGAACGGGUGCGUAACACGUGAGCAACCUGCCCCUGUAUGGGGGAUAACCCUGGGAAACCGGGGCUAAUACCGCAUGGGCUCAUCGAGUCUCCUGGCUUGAUGAGGAAAGCCCCUGCAAGGGAGGGUGCAGGGAGGGGCUCGCGGCGUAUCAGCUAGUUGGUGGGGGAACGGCUCACCAAGGCGACGACGCGUAGCCGGUCUGAGAGGACGACCGGCCACAUUGGGACUGAGAUACGGCCCAGACUCCUACGGGAGGCAGCAGUGGGGAAUCUUGCGCAAUGGGCGAAAGCCUGACGCAGCGACGCCGCGUGGGGGAGGAAGCUUUUCGGAGUGUAAACCCCUGUCAGGAGGGAAGAACGGACGUCCGAGGAAAUGCGGGCGUUUUGACGGUACCUCCAGAGGAAGCACCGGCUAACUCCGUGCCAGCAGCCGCCGUAACAC
rnacentral:rRNA from 1 species